AUGAUACUCUCCGAAACAAGCUACAUCAACUCGAUCUACAUCGCCGUCCGCGACUCUGAUCACCACACACGUCACGGAACACGUCCUUGCCUUCGACAACCUCAAUACCGACCGUCGCUCGGUACCUUAAUCCUUCCUUCUUUGUUGAUUUCAAUCAUUUUUAUAUUGUGUUGUUGUUUGAGUUUUGUUUGUAAAUUUUGA